GACGAACGCUGGCGGCGUGCUUAACACAUGCAAGUCGAGCGGUAAGGCCCUUUCGGGGGUACGACGAGCGGCGAACGGGUGAGUAACACGUGGGUGACCUGCCCUCAGCUCUGGGAUAAGCCUGGGAAACCGGGGUCUAAUACCGGAUAUGACUCCAUGACGCAUGUUGUGGGGUGGAAAGCCUUGUGCGGCUGAGGAUGGGCCCGCGGCCUAUCAGCUUGUUGGUGGGGUGAUGGCCUACCAAGGCGACGACGGGUAGCCGGCCUGAGAGGGCGACCGGCCACACUGGGACUGAGACACGGCCCAGACUCCUACGGGAGGCAGCAGGUGGGGAAUCUUGCGCAAUAGGCGAAAGCCUGACGCAGCGACGCCGCGUGAGGGAUGACGGCCU
rnacentral:rRNA from 1 species